UGUGGGAGCGAGCCUGCUCGCGAUUGCGGUGGGUCAGCUAUCCACUUAUUGGCUGACCUGCCGCUAUCGCGAGCAGGCUCGCUCCCACA
rnacentral:misc_RNA from 1 species